rnacentral:misc_RNA from 1 species
AAGUCGUAACAAGGUUUCCGUAGGUGAACCUGCGGAAGGAUCAUUCAUGAAGAGAACCUAGUGUUUUCAUUCAUUCUACCCCGUGAAAUAUAUCUCAUUGGCUAGCGCUGCAGCCAAGUUAAGCUGAACGUCUUUAGGCUUUAAUUUGGGGCUUUAUUGUGCUGAACGUCUUUAGGCACUUUAAGGUCAGCUUGGUAUGAACGACUCUAGUACCAGGCUAAACUGUAACUAGCCAGAGGUUUGGAUAAGCUGAACGUCUUUAGGCUUACCCUUGCCUUAGGCUCCCAAUUCGAUGAAGAACGCAGC